rnacentral:rRNA from 1 species
UGGGGAAUUUUGGACAAUGGGGGAAACCCUGAUCCAGCCAUCCCGCGUGUGCGAUGAAGGCCUUCGGGUUGUAAAGCACUUUUGGCAGGAAAGAAACGUCGCGGGUUAAUACCCCGCGAAACUGACGGUACCUGCAGAAUAAGCACCGGCUAACUACGUGCCAGCAGCCGCGGUAAUACGUAGGGUGCAAGCGUUAAUCGGAAUUACUGGGCGUAAAGCGUGCGCAGGCGGUUCGGAAAGAAAGAUGUGAAAUCCCAGAGCUUAACUUUGGAACUGCAUUUUUAACUACCGGGCUAGAGUGUGUCAGAGGGAGGUGGAAUUCCGCGUGUAGCAGUGAAAUGCGUAGAUAUGCGGAGGAACACCGAUGGCGAAGGCAGCCUCCUGGGAUAACACUGACGCUCAUGCACGAAAGCGUGGGGAGCAAACAGGAUUAGAUACCCUGGUAGUCCACGCCCUAAACGAUGUCAACUAGCUGUUGGGGCCUUCGGGCCUUGGUAGCGCAGCUAACGCGUGAAGUUGACCGCCUGGGGAGUACGGUCGCAAGAUUAAAACUUAAAUGAAUUGACGGGGGUCAUAGCUGUUUUCCCU